rnacentral:rRNA from 1 species
UACGUAGGGUGCAAGCGUUAAUCGGAAUUACUGGGCGUAAAGCGUGCGCAGGCGGCUUUGCAAGACAGAUGUGAAAUCCCCGGGCUUAACCUGGGAAUGGCAUUUGGGACUGCAAGGCUGGAGUGUGGCAGAGGAGACUGGAAUUCCCGGUGUAGCAGUGAAAUGCGUAGAUAUCGGGAGGAAUACCGAUGGCGAAGGCAGGUCUCUGGGCUGACACUGACGCUCAUGCACGAAAGCGUGGGGAGCAAACAGG